CAAAGAAUAGUUUAUUUAAAAUUCUAGCUUUGGGAGUUAGAGAUAGGAGUUAAAGUCUCCUUUCUUUGA
rnacentral:tRNA from 3 species